rnacentral:rRNA from 1 species
AAUAUUGGAAAAUGGGCGAAAGCCUGAUCCAGCCAUGCCGCGUGUGUGAAGAAGGUCUUCGGAUUGUAACGCACUUUAAGUUGGGAGGAAGGGCAGUAAGUUAAUACCUUGCUGUUUUGACGAUACCGACAGAAUAAGCACCGGCUAAGUUCGUGCCAGCAGCCGCGGUAAUCCGAAGGGUGCAAGCGUUAAUCGGAAUUACUGGGCGUAAAGAGAGCGUAGGUGGUUUGUUAAGUUGGAAGUGAAAGCACCGGGCUCAACCUGGGAACUGCUUUCAAAACUGGCAAGCUAGAGUACGGUAGAGGGUAGUGGAAUUUCCUGUGUAGCGGUGAAAUGCGUAGAUAUAGGAAGGAACACCAGUGGCGAAGGCGACUACCUGGACUGAUACUGACACUGAGGUGCGAAAGCGUGGGGAGCAAAC